AUGAACGCUGGCGGCGUGCCUAAUACAUGCACGUCGAGCGAACAGAUGAGGAGCUUGCUCCUCUGACGUUAGCGGCGGACGGGUGAGUAACACGUGGAUAACCUACCUAUAAGACUGGGAUAACUUCGGGAAACCGGAGCUAAUACCGGAUAAUAUAUUGAACCGCAUGGUUCAAUAGUGAAAGACGGUUUUGCUGUCACUUAUGGAUGGAUCCGCGCCGCAUUAGCUAGUUGGUAAGGUAACGGCUUACCAAGGCAACGAUGCGUAGCCGACCUGAGAGGGUGAUCGGCCACACUGGAACUGAGACACGGUCCAGACUCCUACGGGAGGCAGCAGUAGGGAAUCUUCCGCAAUGGGCGAAAGCCUGACGGAGCAACGCCGCGUGAGUGAUGAAGGUCUUCGGAUCGUAAAACUCUGUUAUUAGGGAAGAACAAAUGUGUAAGUAACUAUGCACGUCUUGACGGUACCUAAUCAGAAAGCCACGGCUAACUACGUG
rnacentral:rRNA from 1 species